CCAACUCGUCGAAGCAGUCCGGUCGCACCCCCAAAUCGUCCUUCACGCCUUCGUUAACGCACGUGUCCACCCUGGACCUGCUGCGGACUCCCAGCUGCAGUCCCAGUCCGCCGCCGCCCAACCUGCCGCAAGUCUGAGGUUAGCUCACUUUGGUCGGCGGCUCGCAGUCGGCGACAGCCUCGACCCGUCCGUCGCCGUCUGUCGCCUUCAGGAACACACUGAACAGGGGUCGGCGCAGGUCCCUCGACGACGAGCGGCGGCGGAAGCCGUGGUUUUGUGCGCUAUAUAUACAUAUUUUGAUGUGCUUUCAGUGUCCCACGGUUGUGCGAUGAGUCAGCACCACAUGGCGCGGAGCCAUGCCAUGCUGGUGUUGGAAAAUACACAGCGGCAGUUUCCUGC